GACGGGGGGGGCAAGUGUUCUUCGGAAUGACUGGGCGUAAAGGGCACGUAGGCGGUGAAUCGGGUUGAAAGUGAAAGUCGCCAAAAAGUGGCGGAAUGCUCUCGAAACCAAUUCACUUGAGUGAGACAGAGGAGAGUGGAAUUUCGUGUGUAGGGGUGAAAUCCGUAGAUAUCAUUUGGAACGCCAAUGGUGAAAACAGGUAACUGGGGCUGUGCUGACGCUGAGACACGAAAGCCAGGGGAGCGAACGGG
rnacentral:rRNA from 1 species